rnacentral:rRNA from 1 species
AGUGAACGCUGGCGGUAGGCCUAACACAUGCAAGUCGAACGGCAGCACAGUAAGAGCUUGCUCUUACGGGUGGCGAGUGGCGGACGGGUGAGGAAUACAUCGGAAUCUACUUUUUCGUGGGGGAUAACGUAGGGAAACUUACGCUAAUACCGCAUACGACCUACGGGUGAAAGCAAGGGAUCUUCGGACCUUGCGCGAUUGAAUGAGCCGAUGUCGGAUUAGCUAGUUGGCGGGGUAAAGGCCCACCAGGGCGACGAUCCGUAGCUGGUCUGAGAGGAUGAUCAGCCACACUGGAACUGAGACACGGUCCAGACUCCUACGGGAGGCAGCAGUGGGGAAUAUUGGACAAUGGGCGCAAGCCUGAUCCAGCCAUACCGCGUGGGUGAAGAAGGCCUUCGGGUUGUAAAGCCCUUUUGUUGGGAAAGAAAAGCAGCAGGUUAAUACCCCGCUGUUCUGACGGUACCCAAAGAAUAAGCACCGGCUAACUUCGUG